rfam:Trichomalopsis sarcophagae strain Alberta scaffold1516, whole genome shotgun sequence.
GGCUGUACUGUACCAGCGCUGGGAUCAGCAGUAUCCCCCUUAAACCCUCUGCAGCAGGGUGGCACAGUACAGAC